GACGAACGCUGGCGGCGUGCUUAACACAUGCAAGUCGAACGAAGUGGCGAACGGGUGAGUAACGCGUAAUCAACCUGCCCUUCAGAGGGGGACACCAGUUGGAAACGACUGCUAAUACCGCAUAGUGAAGGAGGGGAUUGCGGCUGAUUAGCUAGUUGGAGGGGUAACGGCCCACCAAGGCGAGGAUAAGUAGCCGGGCUUGACGGAUUAACGGCCACAUUGGGACUGGGACACGGCCCAGACUCCGACGGGAGGGAGCAGGGGGGAAUCUUCCGCAAUGGACGACAGUCUUACGGAGCAACGCCGCGUGAGUGAUGGCGGCCGUCGGGUUGUAAAGCUCUUUUAAGCGGGACGCGGUACCGGAAUAGAAAGCCACGGCUAACUACGUGCCAGCAGCCGCGGUAAUAC
rnacentral:rRNA from 1 species